AACUUGAAGGGCCGUGGUAUACUGACCAUGCGAAGGUAGCAUAAUCAUUUGCCUCUUAAUUAGGGGCUGGAAUGAAAGGUUGGACGAAAACUUUCUGUCUCUUUUGGUUACUUGAAUUUAAUUUUUUGGUGAAAAAGCUAAAAUUCUCUUGGAGGACGAUAAGACCCUAUAGAUCUUAAUAAAAUCUUUUAUUGAUCUCUUAGCUGUUAGUAGAUCAUUAAACCUUUUAUUUUGUUGGGGCGACAUUGAGUGGUGAUUAAUCUCUCAUUAUUUCUUUACACAUACCGUUGGUUUUUGAUCCUUUAGUGAAACAGGAUAAAGUUACCUUAGGGAUAACAGCGUAAUUUUUCUUGAGAGUUCUUAUCGACAGAAAAGUUUGCGACCUCGAUGUUGGUUCAGGAUUCCUUUUGGGCGCAGUAGUUCAGAAAGGUAGUCUGUUCGACUAUUAAAUUCCUACGUGAUCUGUUCAGAACGGGAUAUUAAGGUUCGUUUGUUCAACGAUUAAAGUCCUACGUGAUCUGAUUC
rnacentral:rRNA from 1 species